rnacentral:lncRNA from 1 species
UUGGAAUAGUAUGUGCUGCAGAUGGGUAAAUUAAGGCAUUGAGAAGUUAAAUGGCUUCUUCAAGGCCUGCUGGAUUUGGCUUCAAGUGCACAUGGCCUUGGCUUGAUCUGUGCUUUCCAGUUCCUCUUCUUGAAAGACCCCACAAAAAAUGUAACUUAUUCUAUUACGUUGUGUAAAACUCGUAAGUACAGCUUCUACCCUAAUGACCUGGUUCUCUUCAUUCAAAGCAAAAUGUUGACUGGUAGGUAAAACUUAACAACAUCUUUAAUAUUUUAAUUGUAAUAGGGUGAACCUGGAGCUCCUGGAGAGAAGGGCUUAUUGGGACCCCCUGGAUCAAGGGGCCUACCUGGCCUAGAUGGCAAUGAUGGCUAUGGCUUUCCAGGGGAAAAAGGAACAAAGGGAUUUACUGGAUUCCCAGGAUUGCCUGGUCCACAGGGAGAAGAAGGUAAUCCAGGCAGUCCAGGAAAUAAGGGGUCCAAAGGAGUUAGAGGAAGAAGGGUGAGGAUUAUUUACCUGUACUCUUUAUUUAGGGAAAUUUUCCUCAUUGAAAAUUGCUAGUUUGAGCAUCUCCUGCU